AUCUACUGCCAUGCCACCCUGAAUAAGCCUGAUCUCAUCUGAUCUCAGAAGCUAAGCAGGGUCGAGCCUGGUUAGUACUUGGAUGAGAGACCACCUAGGAAAACCAGGUGCUUUAGGCA
rnacentral:rRNA from 1 species